UCAGACGAUGCGUCAUGCAUAUCAAUAAGCGGAGGAAAAGAAACUAACAAGGAUUCCCCUAGUAACGGCGAGUGAAGCGGGAAGAGCUCAAAUUUGAAAUCUUAAAGGGUUUCCCUUUACGAAUUGUAGUUUAAAGAAGUGUUUUCUGUUGAGGUUUUGGUAAAAGUUCUUUGGAAUAGGACAUCAUAGAGGGUGAGAAUCCCGUAUUUGACCUUUACUUUCAACUUUGUGAUACACUUUCAAGAGUCGGAUUGUUUGGGAAUGCAGUCCAAAAUGGGUGGUAAAUUUCAUCUAAAGCUAAAUAUUGGCGAGAGACCGAUAGCGAACAAGUACCGUGAGGGAAAGAUGAAAAGAACUUUGAAAAGAGAGUUAAACAGUACGUGAAAUUGUCAAAAGGGAGGCGUUUGACACCAGUGUUGUUUUUCUGAAAAUCAAUUAAAGAACUGUUUAUGCUAAGCUGUUUAGACUUUAUCAGCUAUCUGUUUAGUUUUGAGCUUUUCUUUAAUGCACUUUUCAGUUAACAAGUCAACAUCAAUUUCUUUUGCUGUAAAAAAGCUUGAGGAAGGUGGCUUGAGAUUCGUCUUAAGUGUUUAUAGCCUCUUGCCUAUGCAGUCGGAGAGAUUGAGGUCUGCAGCGUAGAUCCUUCGGGGCUAAAUGCAUUUGUGCUAAGUUAUAGCAUUUUAUAGACAACUUGUUGACUAUGAUUUGUCUUGUAGCUUACUCGCUUAUGUUAUUUUACCUACGCUUAGGGAUGUUGAAUCUGUGCGAGACUAC
rnacentral:rRNA from 1 species